rnacentral:lncRNA from 1 species
AAGGGAAAGGUUACAUGCUCAUUUCGAAAAGAUUUCCAAAUGCCUACAUAAUUGCCAUGUGUCCAAUUAGAAGGUGUUUUGUAAACUAGAAGGUGUGUUACCUACAGCACCCUAAGUUGUAAAAUAAACAUCUGUCUUUGUGUUUUGUACUUCACACAAUCAAAUUUAGAAAGUGUGGUACAUGCGGCGAACUCUUCCCACCGCUCAAUAGAUGCUUGAUUUAAAAAGCUAUGAAUAGCAGCCAAUAUUGCUUGUAUUGGGUGGGCAUCACAUCAUAUUUGGAUCAAUCCAAUCUGAUCAGAAUUGAUUUAUUCUUAUUCGAAUCGAAUUGAUCGGAAUUAAUUCGGAUCAAAUCAGAUCCAAAUCAAUUCGACCAAUUUGAUCGAAUUGCACUUGUUAUUAAAAAAAUAUAAAUAUAGAUUAAAAUCAACCCUCAAAUCCUUAAAAUCCCAAAUCAGAUAUAAAGAAUCAAAGAAGCAGCAGCAUCAUACAAAUAUCAAUGAACUAGUCGAUCUCUUUGAGAAAAAAUCCGACUAGCUAUCAAGCGUCGACUCCCUAUCUCCACGCCUACGAUGUUGCAACCACCAACUGCUGAGCCUUUGAACUGCCCGUUGCCACGUUACCGGUCAAAGCCGCAUGCAAACUGAAGUCCUAAACCCAACCGUUGCAUUUAUUUGUUUAUUGCAAGUUCCAAUGGAGUCGGAUCCAUAAAGCUUGUGAGGUGCAGAGGUUAUAAGAAUGGAUACUUUGACUUUGAAAAACUUGCAUAAAUUUAGGUCUUUUGAAUUACUUAUCAAUCUGUUUUUGAUUUGCCAGUAUGUCAUUCUCCUAGUCUUUUUGGUAAUCGUAAAGUUAAUUGUUUGAUUUAGUUUUCUUGCUUUUGGGAUGCAAUUGUUACUGAAGAUCUCAACUAAAUAAUUGAUGUUAAAAUGAAUCUUCUUCUUUUUUUCUUUUUUCCAUUUGCUGGCUUGCUGCAUUUUUUUUAUUUUAUUUGUGUGAUUUCAAUUUUAUAUUGCAACUUGAAAGUGAUAUGGAUUCAUCUUAUUUAUUCGAACAUAUAUUCAUAUAUUAUCGAUCCGAAUCCAAAUGUAAUCCGAAUUAUUCAUCCAAUCUGAAUAUGAUAUGAACGUGUUCAGGUCGGAUUUAAGUUCAGAUUGCAUUCAGAUGACUAUUUUAGCAAUCCAAAUAAUCCAAAUGGAAUCUGAAUUAUUCGAUUUUGCCCAUCCCUAUUCUUGUAAGUGAAACGAGAAUAUAGAAAUAGAUAAUUGAAUACAAAAGAGCUUUGCUAGCCAUUCCCUUGUUGACUUGCUUAUUAUCACUCUACUCCUUUAACUUCUCAAUUCUUUUAUAUUUUUGUAUGCAUAAUCUGGAUACUUC